GCCACCGACGAGUUUCAACAUGGGGAAUCAAGUUCUCUGGGCUUGCAGAGGAGAUGGGCGGGUUGGGCUUUGUAUGGCGGAGUGAAAACGAGAUGGGUCUGGCAGAGACAGCGAAAGGAGCGAACCGCUUCAGGAGGAAUACGGGAGGAAGACAAAUAUUUGCAGAGGUUUCAGGGGAUUUGAUGCAGAUGAUCAUCAUGGCUUGGAGAAACAAUGAAGGAAGCAAAGUAUGCCGUCUAUGCUGCGGGAGGUAACUCCAGGAGACCCCAGAGAGAACGAGUUUGGACUUUUAACUGAGGGCCAUGGGAAACUAUUGAAGAGUUUUAGGCAGCAUAAGAACUACUAGAUUUUCACUGUGGGAGGAUCCUCAGCAGCAGCCUCAGAAAGGAGAUUGGGGAAGGAGAUCCCUAGUCAGGGAGACCAAGAAGACUACUGGAAAAAAACAGGGAGAUCCUGAAGGACCUGCAAACAAGAAACCAAAUCUCUCCACUCCCCCCAGCCAAAAUGUGUUCAUUUUGACCAGCUGUGUGUGUGUUUUAAAUUAAAAGUUUGAAUUAGAAA
rnacentral:antisense_RNA from 1 species